GACACAGACUCAGCACACACAAAACAGACUCACAAGGAAAGAAACAGAAUCACACAAUCCUCAAGAAAUCUGGACAAUGAAAGGAAGUAGACAAUAUCCAUACAGAAUCAAAGAAAACAGAUACUCAGAGAAAUCAUCCAAGCAAUUCAAAACAUGGCAAAACGAUCAAUCAGUUCAAGAGGUGAAACAAAAAUGACAGAACCUCACAGAUGCACACUAUCAGUGUUUCUCUCAAGUGUCUAUGGUAAACAAUUUCAACUCAAUGUCCUCAAGAAAACAAACACAAACAGACUUGGCA
rnacentral:lncRNA from 1 species